rnacentral:rRNA from 1 species
GACGAACGCUGGCGGCGUGCUUAACACAUGCAAGUCAAGGGGGCCCAGCAAUGGGCAACCGGCGAACGGGUGCGUAACACGUGAGCAACCUACCGAACUGUGGGGGAUAGCCGGCCUAACGGCCGAGUAAUACCGCAUACGCUCUCAGUGAGGCAUUUCAUUGAGAGGAAACCUACGGGACAGAUCGAGGGGCUCGCGGCCUAUCAGCUAGUUGGCGGGGUAACGGCUCACCAAGGCAACGACGGGUAGCUGGUCUGAGAGGAUGGCCAGCCACAUUGGGACUGAGAUACGGCCCAGACUCCUACGGGAGGCAGCAGUGGGGAAUCUUGCGCAAUGGCCUAACGGCUGACGCAGCGACGCCGCGUGUGGGAUGAAGCUCUUCGGAGUGUAAACCACUGCUGCCCGGGACGAACAGCUCGAUUUCUCGAGCCUGACGGUACCGGGUGAGGAAGCACCGGCUAACUCCGUGCCAGCCGCCGC